GUGCCAGCAGCCGCGGUAAUACGGAGGGGGCUAGCGUUGUUCGGAAUUACUGGGCGUAAAGCGCACGUAGGCGGAUCGGAAAGUUGGGGGUGAAAUCCCGGGGCUCAACCCCGGAACGGCCUUCAAAACUACUGGUCUUGAGUUCGAGAGAGGUGAGUGGAAUUCCGAGUGUAGAGGUGAAAUUCGUAGAUAUUCGGAGGAACACCAGUGGCGAAGGCGGCUCACUGGCUCGAUACUGACGCUGAGGUGCGAAAGCGUGGGGAGCAAACAGGAUUAGA
rnacentral:rRNA from 1 species